AAACACUGUGAGGUAGUAAGGUGAUUUUGGCGGGAAAAUCAACUGAGUUGAGUUCAGAAAUAUAUAUAUAUAAAUGGUAGUUAAUCAUUUCGAAUUACGUCGCUGAAUUCUUUAACAUUUAAAUAUUUGCGAUGUUAAACUUUUUCAACAAAUUUCCAGAAACUGGCUGGUUAAUUUAAAUUUUCCACUCAUCGCAGAAUAUACUACAAAAGCCAGAGGUUUUGCAAAACAUGGAGGCGGAUUCAAUUCUGUGAAAUCCAACAAAAGCGCUCCCCGAUAGUGUACAUUUUCAAUAUUGAUCAAUUGGAGUAAUCUAUUUAUUUCGCGCUAUUGUUUGUAGAAGCCUUUUUUUCGUCGUAAUGAUUUCAUAUUUUAUUUAAUAUGUGCGUUUCAAUCAACUGGGUAAAACAUUGGAUGAUUAAAUUUUUGGUUGACUACACAGAAGUGUCAGGCUGAAUCUGAAAUAUCAUUUAGAAAGAAUGUGCAUAACUUUACUAGUUUUCCAUAUUUUAUGACAUAAUCAGGGAGUCAUUUAAAUUAAAUUUGCAUUAUUAAUUAAUGCAUAGUGUUACAUUUCCGCCAAAAAACAUAAACUUUCCUAACAAAUUGUAGGGGAAGAAUAUUUAUUAAAAAAUAAAAAUAAGAAACAUUUCCAAUUAAAAUUAGAGACCUUUUGAAGAAACUUUAUCAUGUUUUAUGUUUUAAACAUGGAGUGAAAAGUCCAACAAAAUUGAUGAUUUUUGUAAUUUUUUGUUGUAGUUUGGAUACUUGGAUUCGUUUUAACGAAACUUUUUUUUUCUUGUGAACCCGGAAUUGGAUGAGACAAUUUUGCCAGAUUCGUAGUAGGCUUAAUCAUUUAAAUAUUUUUAUGAAAUUAUUUUGUACUGCAUGAGUUGUUGAAAAUGGCAUGACAAUUCAUAACAAUUGUCAAAAAAUAUUAUUUGAUAAAAAGAUUAUAGUAAGUCCUGCGAUAGGAAGAAGUUUUCCCUGCAAAUAUGAUGUAAUAUCAUACAACUAGAUCGUUUGAGCAACCCUAAGCUGAACAGAAAAUAAUUUGUAGUAAAAUAUUUUUUUAUUGUUUAGCUUUUAAAGAGAGAAAGUAGAUCAAAUUUGUUAUUUGAUUCAAAUCAAUUCAAAUCGUUAGCUUUUUUACACAAUUUCAAGUGUUAUAUCUAACGACUUGCAUUCUAUCUGGAACGAUAAGAUUGUCAACAAUAUGUCUCAUUGCCCCAUUCCUCAAAAUAAAUUGCCAAAAUCACGUGUGAAAAACGGGGUCAUCAACCCUUUCCCCGCUGCGUCUUCAAGGUCGCCGCCUCGACAGUUUCGCGCCGCCUAACCUACAAAAAGGUCGCACGGGUAAUUAUUGACCGCGCGCGGUCGUCCCUUCCCAUCGGGGUCUUUCCCUCACCCCUUACAAGUUUCACCAAUAAUCACCUGACCGCGCGAAACAGGCGCCAUAGUCGUCGAGAGCGCCUUUUCGGGAAAAACAAAACACAGGCAAAUGAAAACAAAUAAAAGUGCCUCCCCACCCGAGAAAGGCAAGGCAUUACCGACAACAACCAAGCCUCAUUUGCUUUGAAUUCUUUCCUCCCCUGCUCCUUUUUCCCAAAGUCGCCCAAAGAGAGGCCCACAAGGAUGAGUGCGCGACGGCGGUGACUCGAUUUUCCAUCUUUUCACCAUUUGAACUUUUUCCUUGGCGCGCUUCUUCGGAUCGACCUGUGGAAAGUGGGAGUCGGGCGCGCGCGGGGUAGGUCGUAGAGUUUCCGGACGCCAUAGCCACCCGGCUAUAAAUACUACACUGAAGCGCGCGUGACUCCCACCUAGCUCCGGCAGGUUCCUCUUCCAUCCAUCCGUCGAUGGUGUGGGACGGAACGUAACGGAAGAACGGGCGCGCUGUGGCAUUUUCCACGAUAACAAUAACGCUAAAACUCUUGAGCAGCGUCGUCGUCGGUGGACUAGGCUAGCGCACAAAGACGCGACAUAGCUCCAACGACUCUGCGGAGAUGUUGACGACGGCGACGGCGACCCAGGACGGCGGAAACCUUGGCUUGGUCUCCUCCGCGCGCGUAUACACCUCUUGCACGGUAUACCGUUGAUGGGACGAAUCGCGCCGUCCGAGGGUACGAACGCGUUCACACAGCAGCAGCAGCAGUGCUACAGUGACCGAUGGUUGGGUUGGGGACGGUUCAAUGCUUUAAAUCUGUUCAGGAUUUGGUAUAAUAACGGAUUAGUUUAAACAAAAAUAGUCGAUCUAGUAGUCUCUGCUAACGAUCUCCCGUUAGCUGUCAAAUGCACCAAGAUCCAUUAAUUUUAGGUAGGGUUGAAUUUAUUUGAACUGUUGUAUUCUAUAUGAUUUUCAGUCGUAACGUUGUCAAGACUUCUUGUUGAGGUAAAACCCGAAAAAAGACUCUUACUAGAUUGGAUUCAGUUGGAAUUUACGAGAUUCCGGUUGAUCCUGGCAAAUGAAAUCAACAACAAUGAUCAAUUUCUUGUUGUUUCAUACGAAAUUGUUGGUAAAGUUACCAUUACGAUUCGCUCAAGACUCGGUCCCCUUUAAUCCGUGCCCACACCAUCGCGGGGCGCUGUGCUCCAAGCCAUCAGAGGAGCUCUCGGCUGCCAGCGGCACCGUUUCUCGACUCUUCAACGUAAACGAGCUUUUGGCUUUGGCCGUAAUAGCUCCACCGCAGCCACGUACCCUCCCCACGUACACCUCCCCAGCGCCAACGCUGAUAUCGAGUGGUGUUCUGGUGUGCUUUUGGUGCUACGAAGCUCCGGAGCGCACCGGGCGCGCACACCAAAACUUCGAGACUUGGCAUCUCUCGACACCGCGCCGCAGCACCGAGUGGUGCCCGUGUGCUGAACACUUUCUUUUCAUUUUUUUUUUUUGUUGCCGCCACUCCGUUGUGUUGUGUGGAGCAGAGUCUCCACCGGCCUCUGCUGUCCCUGUCUCGCUCGGCUGGUAUGCGCGCUGGUUGCCCCAUCUUGCUUCUUUCUUCCAUCAUCAUCAUCAUAAUCAAGCGUCUCGCUCCACCACCGCCUCCUUCGACAUCCAGCGCGCUCCGGUUUCAGCAAUUCGCCUUCUUCACCAUCCUAGCAAGCCGUGUGCCAAGCCAAGCAGCAGCACCAGAGUGCUUUGCCUCGACGAAAGAUUUCGAUGUGAAACUCUGGUGCGCGGCGCGCUGUGUACGACGGCUCCGGCACACUGGGAUCGGUGCAAGGAGGUCAGAAAAAGUGUUUGACGUUUCGGCACGGACUUCGUCAGGGUGGUUAGGAGUGAUGCAGUAGUCCAUUUUGAGUAAAAUUUGAGCGCAAAAACAUUUGACGGUUUCGAAAAUGGAAGUCCUCUAAAGGACGACAUUCCUAGUCGACCAAAGUCAUGUUACAGCUGUCACACUGCAUGUGUCAAAGUAGCAAAUUUUGACCAAUUUCGCCCCCGUGUCAAACCCAGUGUGCCGUGCUCGAACCAGUUCACACAAAAGUUGGUCCCAAACUCCGAGCACCGAGCACCGAGGGGUCUUCGAAGCAAUUUAAGUUCCAGAGCUGUAGCAGUAUAGCAGCGGCAAAGUGAAGGCACAAAUGACGACGACGACGGCAACAACAAAAACAACACAACGGCGACGUCGACGAAAACGAGAAAGAGAGAAGAGGAAAGACCGAGACCAACCAGUCAUCAGGCUUAGGGUAGCGGCAAAAUGGGUAUAUAUAGCAUUAUAGCAUAAGCAUAAGGCAAGCACAUUUUCGAAGGAAGGUACACUGACUCAUUCGUUUGGUUCGUUCCAUCUGCAAUAUCAACCGCACCGGGUCCCCGUCCUUCCACCGUUUCCUGUGCCCUGCCAUGCCGUCGUCCCCGAUUCUUGUGUGUGACCCUUCUCGCUCGCUUUGUUGGUUGUAUUUCUGUUUCACUCCCUCUUUCUGUUGUUUUUUAGCCCCCUCUGUACCCUCUGUUGUGUAUUCCGACAUAUUUCCACUCGGUAUGCCCUGGUGUGGAACACCCGUCCAGCAGCAAAAUAUCAUUUUAGAGAGACCUACGACGAUGGUGCUGCGCUGCGGCAGCAAGAAGGGGGAACGUACGAACCACCGGAGAAACGUCCGUAAAGCCAUGACACAGAAUGGGCCCUGUAUACGUGUCAGUGUGUGUGUGUAUGCUAGCUCCGGUGCCAGCAGCAGCAGCGGUCGUCGUCGUAGCCAAGGUGGAUAUAUCUUGUCGCCGACGUCCUUCUCCUCCCCCUGCCGGACCGAGGUCCGGAGGUUCAACGGACCACGAACUCACGCACUAAGCCGGAUCCAAGGAGUCCUCGAACUCAUCAAGGGACACAAUUUGAUCAGAGAGUGCCUUGGAAUUCAAGCCGAGACUCGAACCAACCAAAUCCCUAAUCAGAACUUGGGAGUUUGACGUUUAAUGAAUUCAAGGGGAACGCAAUAUUGACCCAAGAAGUUCAUUACUGAAUCAAAUCUUCGACCCUAAAAGUUCAUUACAGAGUCAAUAAAUAAUUUCCAUGAUGAUGUCAAAUAAUUUAACAUUCCUUUCAUUAUCUUAUACUUAAUUAAAAAAAUAAAACCGAUUAUCAAAUAACAAAAACAAACAUUAUUCAUAAUUUGACUAAAAUGGGUCGCAGAACUUGAAUUUGAUGUUUAACAUCAUCAGUAAGAAAAUUUAAAAACAUAUGAUUCGAUUAUCCGAAGUUCCAUUUAAAUCUUCGGAUAAUCUAAACUCGGAUAAUCGAAACAUUGGAUAAUCGAGGCUUCGGAUAAUUUAAUAUGGACUGCAAAUCUUUGCGAGAUUGGAUUAUCUGAAGUUUUUUGAAGAUCCUUGAGAUAAUCGAAUCUUUGGAUAUUUUAGUUUAGACUGAUCAACUGAUCCACAGUAGGUAUGUUGAAUCUGUCGAAUUACUUUUGGAACUUCAAUCCAACCACCUCAAAUCCACAAGAAACCCGCUCACACUAGUUGUUGUUCUGGGUGAAAUUCUAACAGAUAACCGCGGCGUGUACUAAAACAAAGCCCCAUGUUUUUGGCACACGCGAAGGUACGCCGAACGUGCGCGCGCGAUAUGCACCUUGUUUGUCGACGACGUCGUAGCGUCGCGACGCCCUGGCGAUUAGCGUUGAAUGUUGAGUAGGGGGGAAAACAACACAAAAAAAUAGGUUGCUAUUUUUAAGUAACCGCGCCAUGAGAAAUUUAAAAGCGCGCGCGGCACGGUUUGGUUUCGAAGAAUUAAAGUUCGAAAUUAGAAUCUCGACGAAUAUUUAUUGAGGGGUGGGGGAAAUGCAUCGUAUUUUUGGGGAGGAAGGUUUGUUUUUAUCGAAAAUACUAGACUAGAAGUAAAAGUAUAAAGAUUUUAAUCAGAAUCUCGUAUACUGAGAUAUUUGUGACAAACAUUUUGUGUAUAACAAGAUUGCAACAUAGUCAGACAAAACAUAUUUUUCAAAAUUUGGUCCGAAAAUGCAACAAUUUUAGAAAAGAAGACCACAACUUCUCCGUUUGAUUCCAAAGACCAUUUACUUGUGUCAUGCAACAACAGAACAACAUCUCGUCCCAAAUGCACUUAGUCCAACGGAAGGAAAUCCCCCCAGAACGGGGAAAGAUAUUCUAAACGACGAGCACAGCAAGUCUUGCUCAUCUUUAUUUCGGUGCCCUCCUCCGUCACCGACGAGGCGAAGGGGACCAUCAUCUGUUUUAUUUUUGUCCCGAUGCAGCUGGGCUUCCGGCGGUCGCGACAAUCCGACAACCUCGGCGAGACACUGUGCCUGAACCCGCAUGUGGAAAAAAAGUUUGAAACCGUUUCAAAACUGGCGCGCCUUUGUUGAGCGUGCAGUUUGACAGCUGUCUGGGUGGACUGGGCGAGGUUGGCCGAUUUCUGUCGUUUGACAGUUGUGGUUGGGAAAGCAGAUGGUUUUGUUUGUUUUGCUUUGAUUUUUUUUUUUUGGUUUAAGGAUUUAAUUGGUUUAAAUACUUGUAGUAGAGUAAAUUUUGGUGUGGAAAAGGUGAUUUUAUAAGUAGAAUUCUUGCAUAGAAUCUGUUUAAGGUUACUGUAACGAGGAAGUCUCCGCGAUAACAAUACGAACGUGCCGCAUCGGAAUGUAUCAAUCAAGCUGGGUGACGACCUUCCCGGGACGAGCCCCCCACCGGUGAAUGCCAUUAGCAAGCGAUCUAAACAGUGCAGAGAGACAGAGUCACACAGCUCCGCGUGUCCCAUUCAUAAAAUAUAUAUAAUUGCAACAAGUUUCCGACGACGACGACGAUUACGACGUCACCGAAUCAGAAGCGAUGUCGAGCAGCAGCAGCAGCACGCUUAAACGGUUGUCGAUGAUGAUAAAGAGUCGUUAAUGACGUGUGGCCCAGACACGUUGGCCGGCGGCGGCGGUGGGGAAUUCCUCUGCUCUAAAAAGCGACGCAGCUGCCGGUUCUCUUUUCACACUGUGCCGUCUGCUGACUAAUACGGAGUGAAAGAAUGCCGCCCGGCGAUGUUUGGUGACACCCGGGUUACAUAACAAGAAGAGGUUUCAAGCGCCACCACCAUGUAUAAUGCAUCGCACGAGUAAUUAUCGCAAACGUCGACGUUGGUGUUUGUGGUGGCAAUCGAGCCCCUUCCUUGUUGUUCCACGAGGAUACAACAAAAUAACAAACAAAACAAGUGCAGCCCGCACAAAUACACACAUUAGAGAGAGUGCAGCGUGUUGCGAAGGCAAGUGCGCUGU